rnacentral:rRNA from 1 species
GACGAACGCUGGCGGCGUGCCUAAUACAUGCAAGUAGAACGCUGAAGGAGGAGCUUGCUUCUCCGGAUGAGUUGCGAACGGGUGAGUAACGCGUAGGUAACCUGCCUGGUAGCGGGGGAUAACUAUUGGAAACGAUAGCUAAUACCGCAUAACAGUAGAUAUCGCAUGAUAUCUGCUUGAAAGGUGCAAUUGCAUCACUACCAGAUGGACCUGCGUUGUAUUAGCUAGUUGGUGAGGUAACGGCUCACCAAGGCGACGAUACAUAGCCGACCUGAGAGGGUGAUCGGCCACACUGGGACUGAGACACGGCCCAGACUCCUACGGGAGGCAGCAGUAGGGAAUCUUCGGCAAUGAACGGAAGUCUGACCGAGCAACGCCGCGUGAGUGAAGAAGGUUUUCGGAUCGUAAAGCUCUGUUGUAAGAGAAGAACGAGUGUGAGAGUGGAAAGUUCACACUGUGACGGUAUCUUACCAGAAAGGGACGGCUAACUACGUG